rnacentral:rRNA from 1 species
UGCGUAGGUGGCAGAUCAAGUCUGGAGUAAAAGGUAUGGGCUCAACCCGUACUGGCUCUGGAAACUGAUCAGCUAGAGAACAGAAGAGGACGGCGGAACUCCAUGUGUAGCGGUAAAAUGCGUAGAUAUAUGGAAGAACACCGGUGGCGAAGGCGGCCGUCUGGUCUGGAUUCUGACACUGAAGCACGAAAGCGUGGGAGCAAAUA